rnacentral:rRNA from 1 species
UAAUGCUAAGUGUUAAAUGAAGUCCGGAUGCACAGACAGCCAGGAGGUUGGCUCAGAAGCAGGCAUUCACUAAAAAGAGGGCGUAACAGCUCACUGUUCGGGCAUCCGGGGGCAGACAAUGAAGCGGGGUUAAGCUAAGAACGGAAGCGGGAAUUCUAUCCUAUGGGAUAUGAUUGGUAGGGGAGCAUUCCCAUUAACUGAAGAAGGAAUACCCGCGAGGGGGUUCUGGAGGAGAUGGAAGAGAGAAUGCAGGUAUAAGUAACGAAAAGACGGGUGGGAUUUCCCGUCCGCCGAAAACUUAAGGGUUUCCAGGGUAAAGGCAAUCUGCCCUGGGUAAGUCGGCCCCUAAGGCCAGGUCGAAAGACGUAGCCGAUGGGAAAUCGGUUUAUAAUCCGAUACCUUCCACAGUUUCGAGGACAGGACGCAUGAGGUGAAAUCCGGCCGGAGAACGGUUGUUCCGGUCAAAGCGCCCAGCUGAUGAGGGCCGCAGGCAAAUCCGCGGUCUGAGGUGAGGCGUUACAGCGAGCGGAGAGAAAGUCGAAGCGAAGCGGAUGUAGUCAGGGUGCCGGGAAAUACUGUCUAAGCGCUAGGCUGUGGAGGACCGUACCGUAAACGGACACACGUAUGUGGGAUGAGAAAUCUAAGGCGCACGAGCGACCUCGCGUUAAGGAACUCGGCAAAAUGCACACGUAACUUCGGAAGAAGUGUGCUCUGAUUGAAUAAGAUUAAGAGCGGCAGAAAGCAGGCUCAGGCGACUGUUUAUCAAAAACACAGCCCUCUGCAACCC